GGGAUGUCGUGGGCAGAGACGGGGGGGGUUCAGCUUGAUAUUCCGUUGCAGAAGUGGGCGGGGAGGGGGAACAACAGUACUGGGGGUGUGGAGAGAGGCAACCAAAUUUUUGAUGUUUAGAACAGAACCAGUUGGUUCCGGGGCUGAUCAGCCCAAUCCCAUGGAGAGACCCGUAAUUGCUCUGGUUCCGGCAGAAGGGGCAAAGGGGCUGAGGGACAGGAUGGAGGCGCGUGAAUGGGGCAUCUCUUCCCCCGGUCAGCAACAGGGAACAGACCAUCCUCUCCCCUCUCCGACACCUACUGGGCGAGCCUUCAGAACCCAGAGCUGCCUGGGGAAGACGCAGGCAAUUUUGGAACAACCAGUAGGGUCUGGCACUAGGUGGCAACCGUUCCGAUCUCUUGCCUUGGUCACUGCCCUGUCUCUAUCCUGCCUUUCCAUAGUUUAUAUGUCCUCCCCACCAGACUGGGACCCCUCAAGGGCCAUUCUCUGUAUCUCCUGCACCCGGAUGCUUGCUCACUAUGCUGCAGGCAAGCAGAAGGUGCAGAAGCUCUCACAAGCACCCAAAAGAUCCACCCUGACAUCUUCUCUACCUGGGACUGGUGUGGGAUCCCAGUAGGCGCGUCCCCAAAUUCAGUGACCACGUACUCCGAUGGUUGGUGUAUGGGCACACCCCUACACAACCCAAACCCCAGCCCCUGAAAUCGAGUGUCAUCGGUAAGAAUUCACCCCAACAGAAAGGUCCUUCGGCCACUGGGCUGGGGGAGAGGGGAGGGGAGGAGAGAAGAGAUGGGCGAGACCCCCCAGGCAGCUUGCAACUUUCUUUUUUUCUGGUUUAAUUUUUUACAAGAUUCAUUUAUUAACUAUGAUACAUGUCACAUAAGGCCUGUUCAGUUUUUACACCAUUCCCAUUGAGACAAGUACAAUACUUUGUAGCAAAUACAUGAUUUCAAAACAAAACAAAAAACCAGAACUGGAAAAAAAAAAAAUGACCUCAGCUGGAGAUGUCUGUCGCGGAGCAUUUAUAGCUGACCAUGCACAAAUUGCUUUUUUAGGUCUGAAAAAAACAUGGUGUAAAAAAUUUCUUUGGGGGCAGGGAGCAGCAAACAUUCCUAACACCACUAACUAAGGGUUGUACUGGGUUACGUCCCUAACAAUACAAAGAAAUAACCGGGAUACGUUUCUUUACAUACAGUUCUCCAUGUUUGCUGAGACAUUGAAUCUGGGCACACGGCUGGACUAACACAUUUUAAUACCAUUUAGUAUGCUUGUUUUCUUGUGAAAACUCAAAAUGUGUUAAUUCGACACAUAGAAAGAUCAUUUAACAUGUGAAAAAUACUAGUACCAGAAAAAUAAGUCGGCGGCAGCACUAUCCCAAAGGUUCAAACGAGUUUUAUUCCCAUACAAUCUUGACAGGUUGUUUUUUUUUUUUUUUUUGUUUUUUUUUAAAUGUACACAGGGAAGUUUGAAGAUCUUUUCUUUAUGGAAAACAAUAACUUAGGCCGUCUUGACUACAUUGAAUGGGAAACAUCUCUGCUCAAUAUGAGGAGGGGGGGGGGGGCAGGUGGCGAGAGGGCAUGGACCCGGGGAGGCAGUGACCACACCUGGGACCUUUGGGCUACAGGGAGCACGGAUGUGACUAAGAGGGGAUGAGGAGGAAAAGGAUGGUAAGAAGCACCAGAAGGGAAGGCCCUCAAUCGGCAGGAUGUGCCAGCCACUUCCUCCCACCUGCAUCCUUCUCACAUGAUUCAAACAAAAGGCAAUCUUUUCGGACAUGAUUUUAAAGAGUAUUCUGGAAUUACAUUGGAGGAGGGCCCAUCUCUACGCUUUCUCCUGUUUAAAGAAUGUAAGAGCAAGAAAAGCUGGCAGAUGCUGAGAGCAAUCUCCUCCCCCGGCCCUAGAACCCUCCCAGACCUGGUCAGGAACUUGGGCUCAGUGCCUCCAAGGCCCCUCUCAGCUCUCGAUGCUGCGGUCCCCCAGACUGAAAUCGUCUCCAUCUUGGCCUCCGGAAAUUCUGGAGACAGGCAGCAGUGGACAGACCAGUCUAGUUCAGAACCACCAUGCCAACAUGGGAUAAAAGCAAAGGGGCCAUUAAGUCACCCAAGCCCAGCUUCCUCAGGGAGGGGUGUAUGUGUAUGUGUGUGUGUGUGUUGGGUGGGGGUGGGGGUGUCACUGAAUCCACUGCUGGACAUCAGGUGCCACACAUGCAGGAGUUGGGCAAGCCCUGCAACCUCAGGGGCCUCAGUUUCCCUAUUUGUAAAGGAGAGACAGUCUCUAAGGUACCCUCCAGUUCUAAUCAUCUAUAAAUCUAGGGAAUGAAAACAAAGUACUGAGUCAGACCGGCGUUCCAGGCCUGGAUCUAUCAGCAGGAAGUUGGUGGAUCAUGGGAAAGUCCCUUAACUCCUCCAAGGCUUUUUAUUUCCUUAUUUCUAAAAUGGGGACAAGGAUGCUCGGCGUGGUCUGCCUGGCCAUGGGAAGGGUUAAAGAUUGGGAUCAUAAAGCACUAAAGAUGGGCCUGGCAGGGAGAGUGGGGGCCCCAGGAAGCUCGCCUUGAACCCCAACCCCACGGCUUCCCCGGUGCUAGGGAAACCCCAAACUCUGGCUUGUCUUUGCACAGUUGUUCAAAGUUACCCCCCACAUGCUGGAGCGAAUGGAUCUUAGUUCUGAGAAGGUUCGGCCCCCGUGCACUCGGAUCGGUUCUGUUUGGGUUAUUUGCUGGGGGCCGACAUGACAGAGGGGGCCCGGGGAGCUUUUGGACUUCCCUUCUGCCCCGCUUUCCCCUAGAGAGUUGGGGAACUGGUCCCCUUCAACGAGCGGGCACGAACGAAAAAGGGGGGGGGACGGGAUGACACAAGGACCCCACCCGGGUCCCCAAACGGGAAGGGGCCCCGGGGGGGGGGAGGCCCCGGGAUUACAGCACCUCUUCCUGAGGGUGCCCCCCACCCUGCUACGCUUGUCUGAAAGCUCAGGGAGCUCCCCGAGGAGACCAGGGCCGUGGAGCAGGGAUGAAGGCACAGAGAGAACACAGACCAGAGACAGCAGGCCCCUCCUCCCACCCACCCCAGAAGAGUGAAGGGGCAGGGGAGGAGCCAAAGCAACGACCCCCCGCAGCACCCCCAAGACAAAGCCCACCAUGCUAACAAUGCCCUGCCCAUCUGCCGCGUCCAUUUUCUUGAGGAAUAAGGCUACAGGACUCGAGGAAAUGCUUCUUCCGAGCACCAUGUGCCACGGGUGGGCAGUUACUGCAGCAGCCGACUCCCCCAGCCCACCCUGCCCGCCCUGCGCCACAGAUCCUGGCUUCCUAAAGUGCAAAGACAACACGUGGCCCUGACGGCCGCCCCACCCCUGCCUGCGCAUAGAUGGUGCUGGGGAAGGGAGUGCGGGAGGCCGCUGGGGGGCCCAGGGACUUCUUACACAGGGCCGGCGUGCUCAGGGCACCCCGAGAGGAGGCUGGGGUGCUUCGCGACAUCCUGAGCCCCGGGCUUCCAUCAUGGACUGGCACCAGGCCAUUAGUGUUAAAGGUGGUGCAAGGAGCCACGGCCAGAGGGGCUGGUACCUGGGUGCUACCUCCCAGGGAAAGGGGCGGGGGUCCCCCGCCAUGUCAGGCCAGAGCAGCCCAUCUUCACUGUAGUGUUUGGGGGUUCCCUCCCCUGCCUCCCACGUACAUAUGGCAUCGGAGGAGCCACGUCCCACGUUUCCGAGGGAGGUGUGAGUCCGGCCCAGGCCCGAUGGGGCGCUUUGGCCAGGUCCCAGCUAGGGCACCGGGCCCGGGCCCUGAGGAGGAGCACCGUGGCCCGGGCCCGGGAGCUGAGGAACCCAAAGUCGAGGUCUCUCUUGUGUUUUUUUCCCUAGUGUUUUAAAAUCUUU
rnacentral:lncRNA from 1 species